rnacentral:rRNA from 1 species
UACGUAGGGUGCGAGCGUUAAUCGGAAUUACUGGGCGUAAAGGGUGCGCAGGCGGUUUUGUAAGCCAGAUGUGAAAUCCCCGGGCUCAACCUGGGAAUGGCAUUUGGGACUGCAAGGCUAGAGUGUGGCAGAGGAGACUGGAAUUCCCGGUGUAGCAGUGAAAUGCGCAGAUAUCGGGAGGAACACCUAUGGCGAAGGCAGCUCGCUGGGACGUUACUGACGCUGAGACGCGAAAGCGUGGGGAGCAAACAGG